GAACAGGGGAUCACCUUACAAUGUCAAUUUUGGGUGGAUAUAGUUCCUAAUGAUUGAACCACAAUAAAGACAUAUUUUGGUGAGAACAGCAAGACCUUCACCUGCAGGUCUGAGGUUGGAGGAGGUCCCUUCCUGAGGCACAGGGUCUUUCUCAGCAGCAGACUUGCUGCUUGAAGUGCUGGCUCAGAGUCUGGCUCUACUGGCAGAUGGCCACAGAAGAUCAAGCAGGGUCCUGGUGGGCCAAUUUCUCAGGGUCUACCUUGUUGAUAGGACUGUUCUGAGCAGGCUGAGCCCUGGAUGCUACUUAGCCCAGGCUAUGGGAGGACAAGCCCUCAGGUUGUAGCCCUCCUCCUGCUUGGCAGUGGAGAGGGGUCCUGCAGGCUCUGCCCUCAAGAGUGGUUGGGGGUCCCAGCAGGGCCUCUGAUUUCAGUGAAUAUCUCUGGGCACAUGACUGGUGCUUCUCUGCACCAAGACCUGGCUUUGCACCAGUCGAUACACUGCCCUGUAUGCAUACCAGACCAGCCUCGCUGUCCCUGCCAGAUCCCCCAGUGAAUGGACAAAGAGUGCUGUUCAGUCCUGUGCUCACGAGGAGCAGGGAGAUAAAUAAGAGCAGAGACUCAAGGAAAGCUAGCACCAGACCUUGGAAGGAAAAGCCCUUGGGACCAAGAAAUCACAGGGGACAGACUGAGCACAUGUGUCAGGGUGCCCUGCCCCUGACAAGUGUCCCUCCUCCAGGGGUUUUCUGCUGGAGUGAACACGGAGCCUCACAGCUGCAGCUGGCAGCAUCUGGAAGGACCUGGAGGCUGCAUCUGAGCCGGCACCUCCUGGCCAAUAUGGCCUGGGCACUGGUGCCCAAUUUAAUGGCAGAAAUAAAUCAUUUGGUCAAAGUUCUUUUGAAAGAAGAGAGAGAAAUUCAUUCUGAAGCUACUCAGCACUGUGCACACACUAAUGGAGCAUUCUAGAGAGAAAGCAACCAUUAAAAUGUCCCCGAUGUGAUGUGUGACUUUAAACCACAUUAUAUGUUCACAUGAACUGUUUGGCUGGAAGGGUUACAUGCCAGCAGAGGGGUGAGGUGAGGACGAGGGUAAAAUGCUGCUUACUUAGGCAUCUGCAUCUGCAGUCCUUCUCUGCUCUGAAGAGCACCGUGCCCCAGGCACACGAUGGUGCCUAGGGAACUGUGUCCCUGAAGGCCACCUUGUUUGGCACUGAAGGCUAUUCUGGUGGAAUGGAGUCUGUGGGUGCGUCUGCCAGCCUGAGUUGGUGGAAACCCACUUCUAUGAUAACUCAUGCCCAGGAGGCGAGGGCCUGCCCCAUGAGUUCUUAGGACUUGGGUCAAGGCCGCCCUACCUGCACUGGUCACUUGGGUUUAAGAGGGGACAUUGGGUCAAAUGAGAGAGAGGGCCAGCAGGAGGGGAUUGGACCUGAGGAAGCAGCCACAUGGAACUUCAUCCUGCAGUGUCUCUUUAAGUGGGAAGCAGGGCUGUCUGCUGAGUUGGUACACUGCAGGUGCAUCCACAGAGCACUCAUCCAUAACUUGGCUUGUUGGGCUUCUGUGUUAAUGUAAAAGCAUCACAUUUUGGCCACUGAGAGAAGAUUCUCUCAUGUGAGAAGCUAUUUUGGUUCCAAACAUGGCAAUGUCUUUGUGGAUCCUCCCUCCCCAACAGCCACAGUCUGCAGACCUGGGCUGGGUGUGAGGCCAGGCUGCCUGUGGUGUGACCCGGUGGAGACACAAGGCAUCCGCCCUGGGAGCUGUGGCCUCACAGACCUGCUGGGGACCACAGGGACUGCUGGUGGACACUGGCAGCAGGUGGCCGUGUGUACCCUGGCUGGGGUGCAUGAGGCCUGGUGUGCUGGUGUCGGCAGCAGGGCCCUUGCAGCAGGCAUCCCACUCAGUAUGUGAUAAGAAAGACUGACUCAAGGCCUCCUCAGAGGUGUUUACAUUUCUGUAUCCAGGCCUGGGUUCAAUGCCCAGGACAGUGGAAAAGCCACUUUUGUGUGGACUUCUGCAGAUUGUGAGCCUCUGAGUUCCUCCCUCUACAUGCUGGGUACAAAGUUCAAAAACUUUCUGAACUCAGUUUUCAGGGGGAUUGAUGAACUGUGGCAAAAGCCUCCCUUCUGAACCUGGCUGCAGCCAAUGAACCUAGUUCCUGCUAAUUCCUUGAUGUCCAGCCUCAUCUGUCCCACAACACUGCCUGAGGGAACAGGGCCUGUACCAGAGGCUGGUAGUUCUGUGCAAGAGCAGGAAGGAGCCAGCCACAUGCAGUUGAGCUGAGUCCUGGAUUCUGGACAUCUGGCCCCUUAGCCCCCUGUGUAGCUACCUUGACUUCCAGGAAUGUUCCCUCCUUCCCUGUUCCAUUCCUGUCCCCUGGGAAUUCUCCCAGGGAGUUGAUCCACCUGCUGCCUCUGCCUGAUCCAGGCUGUUUGUUCAUUCCGUGAAUAUGGAACUUAGCUGGGAGGGAGUGAGCCUGGACCCUGACAGCUAACUGAUUGCCAGGAAGUGGUGAAUCAUGGGGAAGGAUGUGGAGCCCAGAAAUGGACCAAGAGCCCCAUCUGGGAGUUGCUGCUUGUGGCCUGAGUCAGUCUUCACCCCAGCUAUUGCAUCCUGAACUGCUCAGUUACUGGAGCCAGCAAGUUCCCGUCCCUGUGAGCAGCUCUGAGUCGGGUUUUCUGCCUCUUUCUGCCUGAAGUGCCUGCUGGAUACCAGGUGCUUCCAGGGUACAAUGUGGAACUGGGGCUGCAGCUGGCUGGUCCUGGCUUCUGCCACUGUUCUGAGAGCAGGAGCUGCUGUGGGCAAUGUCUGGCCCAGUGAGAGAGAUCAAGGUGGUGAACAGAGAGCCCUGAGGCCACAGGUGUCCCUUAACAUCUCCCAGAGCUCUCUGGCCACCCAGGAAAGGGUCCAGUCAGGAGCAUUCUCUGGAGGUUGUCAUUGAGGAGCCAUUGGUGAGGAAGGUGCAGUCCCCAGAGGGGGCAGGAAGAGGAGAAGCAGCAGUAUAGUAAAGCUGCUGCCAAUGGAGAUUUUUAUUUUAUUUUUUUUAUUCAUAGUUCUUUCCACAUAGCCUGAAGCCACUUUGUGUGGAGUUGACCUUCAGUCAUCAUCUGCUGGCUGGCUGGCUGGCUGGCUGGUUAGGUAGACAGAUCAGUGAAUUAACAGAUGGAUGGUGAGUGAUGGUGAGUGGAUGGAAGAAAAGAUGGAUGGAUGAGUUAAGGAUUAAUGAAUGGAUGGAUGAAUGAGUGGACAAAUGGAUGAAUGUAGGAUGCGUGAGUGAAUUAGUGAAUGGUUCUAUGGAUGAAUGGAUGAACAGAAGAAUGGAGGAAUACAUGGAUGAAUGAGUGAAUGGAUAAUAAAUGGAUGGGUGGAAGAAUGGAAGGAUGGAUGGAUACAUGAAGGAAGGAAGGAUGGAAUGAUCAGUGAAUGGAUGGAUGGAUGCAUGAGGAAGGAAGGAUGGAUGGGUGGAAUGAUCAGUGAAUGGAUGGAUGCAUGCAUGUGGGAGGAAGGAAGGAUGGAUGGAUGGGUAGAUGAAGGAAAGAAGGAUGGAUGGAAUGAUCAGUGAAUAUAUGGAGGGAUGCAUGAGGGAGGAAGAAAGGAUGGAUAUGGAUGGAUGCAUGAAGAAUGGAUUCAUGAAUAAAGGAUGAAUGGAUGAAGAAGGAUGGAUGGAUGGAUGAAAUGAUGAGUGAAUGGACAGAGGGAUGGUUGAUGAAUACAUGGAUAAACCAUAGCCAGGUGAUGACACUAGUAAGGUUGGAGUUGAGUUCAUGGGAAUGCAAAGGUGUAGAGGCCAGGAAAUAAAAGUUAUAGAAACCUCAUGUUCUUAGGCUCAGUGGUAUCAACAUUAAACCCAAUCUUAGACUGAUAUUCUCAGAAGAAACAAAGAUUUUUUUUUAACAGAAAAAUUAAGAUUUCAAGAGUAAUUAAGGAAUGAUGAUUCCUGUGAUCAUUAGAACUGAGAUGCGUUUAUGAUGUCAAGUGGAAAACAGCUGUUUUUAAAUUCAACUUUUUCAUUUCCCAUGAGAUUUAAAUGUUUUAUGAUACCUUAAAACAACUUGCUGAAGAGAACUCUUUGUAGACAGUCUACAUACAGAAUGGCCCUGACUCCAUACAGUGUAUAUAUCAACUUCAGUAAAAGAUACUGUAUAAGUUUUAUUGGAUUUAUGAAAAGAAACGCAAUAAUAUGCACAUAUAUUGGAUUAUUUGAUAAUUUAACACGUGUACACACCUGCAAAACCCAAAACAAAAACAUGACUACCUCUUCCCUUCCAAAGUCUCUUCAGUCCCUGUCUCCUGCAGGGAAACACAGAUCCUGCUUUCUAUCACCAUUCCUUUAUUUGCAACUUCCAGAAUUGUACAUAAAUGAAUCCAC
rnacentral:lncRNA from 1 species